ensembl:lncRNA
CGCUGCCAAUCGGGGAUGCUGUAGCUAUGGAGAUUGUGCGAGGACUGCACAAUAAACUCCCAGCAGUUCCUUGAUGACCUCCACGGGUUUGUGCUCCCAUGGCAGAUGUGCUCCUAAGUCUUCAAACAGGUCGACGUCCCUGACAGCAAGCAUCACAGCUGUCACACCGUCGCUGUUUGGAACAUUCACAUCCAGCCCGUCGUGAAGUGAGCUUACCAGCAGGUGCUGUAAGGAGUGGAGGUCUCCCUGCCAGGCAGCCUGCAGUAGCUGCGCCUGGGGGGGCAGAUGAGGCCUUGACAUCCACCUCACCAUUUCUUCCCGCAGCUCUGGCGGACUUAUGUGGAGCGCUGUCUGCUGGCUGAAGUUGCACAAGGUCAGGUCAGCAUCUGUCCUCAGGAGCUGCUGAACCACCUGUUAAACCCACCACAUAAAAAACCUGAAACAUCUCAAAAAAAUGUGAAGCGUAGAUGUGUCGUUUCUGUCAGUAAAAGGACUGUUGUUGCUCAUUUUAGUGUAAACACCUUGUGGUUGGGUGUAUUUUAAGAAAACAUAAGUUUGAGUUAUAAUUGGAGAGUUUCCCUCCAGACAAGCCUGUUUUGAAUGUCUCCCUCAGAGGAUGCAGAGGAGCUAUGUUAAAAAAAAGUUGCAUAAUCUCAUGUGAUCACAGCACUUUGUUGUUAUUGAAAGGAAAAGUACGACGUGUUACGUGACAGAAACUGGUUUCGUCUACCCAACCAAUCAUAUCCAUCUGGUGCUUUCCAGGGCUGGAGUAGCCAGCUUACCAAAGAGGAAGCAUGGUUACAAUAGACAUGUACUUGCCAAACUCUCUCUACCGCACACAUGCACACGCCGUUACCUCGCUCAUGGCACCGCGGCAGGCAGCGAUAAGGGGAGUGCAUCCUUGUUCCUUGUCUUCCUUCAGCUCUCCUUUCUGCACCCC